CCUACGGGGGGCAGCAGUGGGGAAUAUUGGUCAAUGGACGAGAGUCUGAACCAGCCAAGUAGCGUGAAGGAUGACUGCCCUAUGGGUUGUAAACUUCUUUUAUAUGGGAAUAAAAUGUUCCACGUGUGGGAUUUUGUAUGUACCAUAUGAAUAAGGAUCGGCUAACUCCGUGCCAGCAGCCGCGGUAAUACGGAGGAUCCGAGCGUUAUCCGGAUUUAUUGGGUUUAAAGGGAGCGUAGGUGGAUUGUUAAGUCAGUUGUGAAAGUUUGCGGCUCAACCGUAAAAUUGCAGUUGAAACUGGCAGUCUUGAGUACAGUAGAGGUGGGCGGAAUUCGUGGUGUAGCGGUGAAAUGCUUAGAUAUCACGAAGAACUCCGAUUGCGAAGGCAGUUCACUGGACUGCAACUGACACUGAGGCUCGAAAGUGUGGGUAUCAAACAGGAUUAGAUACCCGAGUAGUC
rnacentral:rRNA from 1 species